rnacentral:rRNA from 1 species
UACGUAGGGUGCAAGCGUUGUCCGGAAUUAUUGGGCGUAAAGAGCUCGUAGGCGGUUCGUCGCGUCGGCUGUGAAAUCCCGAGGCUCAACCUCGGGUCUGCAGUCGAUACGGGCGGACUGGAGUACUGCAGGGGAGACUGGAAUUCCUGGUGUAGCGGUGAAAUGCGCAGAUAUCAGGAAGAACACCGAUGGCGAAAGCAGUCUGCCUGGGCUUAUCCGUGACACUGGAGAUACGAAAGCGUGGGAGCGAACG